GGACCCGUCAUGAUCCACGCCAUGAUAGACUCUGGAGCUACCAACAAUUUCAUCGAUAGAGAGUAUGCCGACUCUCUGGGAUUACAAUAUCAUGAUUUCAAGAAUGCCCGUGUGGUGCAAGCCAUAGACGGCCGCCCCCUCAAGACGGGCCCCGUAAGUCAGUGGUCGGAACCCACCAGGAUGUGGAUAAGGGAACAUAUGGAAGAGAUUUCCUUCUUUGUUACCGAGGUCCCCCAUUUCCCUGUGAUUUUGGGAAUUCCAUGGCUGACUCUCCACGACCCUAACAUCUCCUGGUCCAACAGAGAACUGCAGUUUGCUUCACCGUACUGCCAAAACCAUUGCCUCGUAGCCAAGGUAUGCCAUGCCACAGACACCGAGCCCAUCAUCACCUUGCCAAAGAAGUACUCCGAGUAUUGGGAUGUAUUCAAUGAGAAAGAAGCCGAAAAAUUACCCCCACAUAGACCUUAUGACUGUGCCAUUGACUUGGUGGAGGGGGCCCCGAUCCCGCGAGGGCAUCUCUACUCCCUGACUGAACCAGAGCAAGAAGCUCUCAGGGAAUUCCUAGAGACAAACCUUCGCAAGGGAUUCAUCAGACCCUCUCAAUCCCCAGCCGCCUCCCCAGUGAUGUUUGUGAAGAAGAAGUCAGGGGAACUACGCUUGGUGGUGGACUACAGAGCAUUGAACAAUAUCACCAAGCGGAACAGCUAUCCCCUGCCCUUAAUCUCGGAUCUACUGGAUCGGCUUCGAGGAGCCAAGGUUUACACCAAGCUGGAUCUUCGGGGGGCUUACAACUUAGUUCGCAUCAGGGAAGGGGACGAGUGGAAGACCGCCUUCCAGACCAAAUUCGGAUUAUUUGAGUCCCGAGUUAUGAAUUUCGGUUUAUGCGGAGCCCCCGCAACGUUCCAGCAUUUUGUCAAUGACAUUUUUCAGGACUAUCUAGACAGGUUCUUGAUAAUCUACCUGGACGAUUUUUUGGUGUUUUCUAGAUCACAAUCAGAACAUGAGAACCACGUCAAAAUGGUGUUACAACGAUUGCGGGAUCAUGGACUUUAUGCCAAGCUGGAAAAAUGCGCCUUUGAUCUACAAGAGGUAGAUUUCCUUGGUUACCGCAUCUCGCCUCUAGGGCUAUCCAUGGAUCCAGCCAAGGUUUCAGCAGUAUUGGAAUGGCGGGCGCCAACUAACAAGAAAGAGGUGCAGCGUUUCUUGGGGUUCGCGAACUAUUACCGCAAGUUCAUUCCAGAUUUUGCCCGCUGGUCCGACCCCAUCACUAGCUGCAUCCGUGGAAAGCAGCCUUUCCGCUGGACUGAUCAAGCAGAGAAAGGGUUCCAGCAACUAAAGAAACUAUUCACCUCCCAGCCAAUUCUACAGCACCCAAAUCCUGGAACCCCUUUUGUGGUGCAAGCGGACGCCUCUGAUGUGGCAAUUGGGGCUGUACUCUUACAACCGGUGGGAGAUCACCUCCAUCCCUGUGCCUUUUAUUCUCGUCAACUAACCACACCAGAGAGGAAUUACACCAUUUGGGAAAAAGAACUACUGGCCAUAAAGGCAGCCUUUGAAACUUGGAGACAUUGGCUAGAAGGGGCCAAAUUUCCCAUUGAAGUCCACACUGAUCAUCGUAAUCUAGAACAUCUAAGAACUGCCCGCAAACUAAAUCAGAGGCAGCAACGUUGGGCUCUAUUCUUUGAACGUUUCAACUUCCAGAUCCAUUAUGUGACCCCAGCCCAAACCAAGCAAGCAGACGCCCUGUCACGUAAACCGGAAUACGCUGCAGGACGCAAGGAGACCUUUGAAUCCCAACUGCUACAACCCGAGAACUUUGCCACGCUCACGGUGGGGAACACCAAAUCCAUUCCCAUUGGUUCAACUUCCCCUACUCCAGGACCCAUCUGUGCUCAAGAAAUCAGGGCUAGUCAGCAAACAGAUGCCUGGGCGCAGGACCAACUUCGCCAAGGUCUGCAUUUUCCCUUUUCGCUUAAAGAUGGGCUGCUCUGCUAUAGAAAUCAUGUUUAUAUCCCACCCGGACCGGGCAGGGAAAAAGCGCUUCGUCUGUGUCAUGACUGCAAACCAGCAGGACAUUUCGGACUAUUUAAAACUAUGCAUUUGAUCCUAAGGGAUUUUUGGUGGCCCAAGAUCCGCAAGGAUGUGGAAAAAUAUGUCAACACCUGCCCAGUAUGCCAGCGCUCCAAGAUACGAAGGGAGAAGCCCUCAGGGCUUUUACACCCCCUUCCUACCCCAUCUCGCCCAUGGGAAAUAAUUUCCGCGGAUUUCAUCACUGACCUACCACCUUCCUGUGGAUUCACCACGAUCUUAGUGGUGGUGGACCUUUUCACCAAGUUAGCCCAUUUCAUUCCCUGCGAAGGCCUCCCCACGGCCAAGGAAACUGCGGAUCUAUUUCUUCAACAUGUUUUCAGACUACAUGGAUUGCCCAAGAGUUUAGUCACAGACCGUGGAUCUCAAUUCACCUCUCGUUUUUGGAAGGCACUACAGAAACUAUUGGGCAUAGACUCUCGCUUAUCUUCAGCUCAUCAUCCCCAAACAGAUGGGCAAACGGAGCGCACCAAUGCCACUUUGGAGCAGUAUCUUCGCUGUUAUGUAAACUACCAACAGGACAAUUGGGCUUCUCUGUUACCACUGUCUGAGUUUGCCUACAACAAUGGAGUUCAAGCUUCUACAAAAGAAACGCCGUUCUUUGCAAACUACGGCUUCCAUCCACGUUUCUUCCCCCCUGUCAUUGAAACUUCAGAAGUUCCCGCAGCAGAGGAUUGGCUGCAGGAACUCACAGCGGUGCAACAACUUUUGCUCCAGCAACUGGACCAAGCCAAGGAGGACUAUAAACGCCACGCUGACAAACAUCGCCAGCCGGGCCUCGAAAUCAAGGUAGGAGAUCGGGUUUUCCUGUCCACUCGCUUUCUGCCCUCCCACCGCCCUUGCCGGAAGUUAGAUGCCCGUUUCAUUGGCCCCUAUCCAGUGGUGGCGCAAUUAAACCCCGUGACUUUCAAACUCCAACUUCCGCGUUCAAUGCGCAUUCACCCAGUGUUUCACCGUUCCCUGCUCCUUCCGGCGGAUGGUGUGCGACCUGAUACAGACCAACCGGCCCCCCCUCCUGUUUUGAUGAAUGGGGAGGAGGAGUUCGAGGUUGAGGACAUUUUGGAUUCUCGCUUUCACCGCCGCCGCCUACAAUAUCUCAUUGACUGGGUGGGUUUUGGCCCUGAGGAACGCUCUUGGGAAGACGCCUCCACAGUCCAUGCUCCUGAUCUAACCCGUCGCUUUCAUCAGACCUAUCCCACCAAACCGCGACCUCGCGCCUCGGGGAGAGGGCCCCAGUUUGGGAGGGGCCUUGAGGAGGGGGAUAGUGUGAUGACCCAUGGGCCUUGUAGUCCUGCUCAGGACAUUGUAAUUCCUGAUGAAGAUGAAAACUUGGGUUUUUUACCUUCCCAGUCUGAACUGGAUCCCUCUCAGCCAGAUCUUUCCCAGGCAGAUCUGGGAACCUUGCACCUGCAAGAAAGUUGUCUCCCAGAAGUAUGUCAAACAAGCCCAGAGCCUACUUCUCCCGUGUUCUUGCGCCGGGAGUUUUGUAAACAACAGAGAAGUUUGGAAUCAGCUUCGCGCAGGAGUGCGAGGAUUGCAGCUAAGAAUGUGGCCAAUUAAGACUGCUUCUCGUGAGAAUCUUUGGGGAGUCUCACAUCUGGUCUCAGAGUUUAGCUUUCGGUUCUGAUUCCCAGAGAACUGCUUCGGCGGGAAAGUUAGACUCUAUUUAGGUGUUUUACCCGCGUAGUAACUUCGCGGAGUCAAUUCGUCAGCCUACGGAGCGAGUUGUGUCUGGACAGCGCGCUCCGAUUCAAGCCUCGCUCCUGCUCAAGCCUUGCCUUGCUAUCCAGCCUUCGCCUUGCUUCCCAGCCUUUGUUUAUCUACGGACUUUGCCUUGUUUCCCAGGAUCAAUCCUUGCCUUGUUCCACGGAUUUUAUCAAGUUAUUCCACGGACCUUGUUCUUGUUCUUAGUUACCUUGUUCCACGUUCAAGCCUUGUUUCAAGUAUCAAGUUAUUUCCUAGCCUCGCUCAAGUUUCAUGGACUAAAGGACCUUGUCAUCUCCCCUCACUUUGCUUGGCAAAGUGAGUGUUUCGGUUAUUGGAUUACAACUUUGGACCUUAAUAUUUCUUAUUGGACAUUGCUUUUUUGGACUAAUUCUGACCUUUCCUGAAAGGUCUAAUUCUGGACUAUUUUCUACACUUGUUUUUAUUAACUUUAUAUAUUCCUUCAAUAAAGAUAUUAGAUAGAUUCUGGCCUCUGUGUAUGGUUAUUGGUGCUCUGCAGCCUGGGUCUUGACAUAUUUGAAGAAUGCAACAAGGUCUCCACAUGAUCUUCUCCACUCAAAGUUGAACAUAUUCAGUUGUUUCUACUUUCAUUUGUUUUGUACCCCAGGCCAUCUUUAUUAUUGUCCACAAAACCCUUCUGAUCUAUGGUUUCAUAGUUAGCCAUAGUUAUCUGUGGCUAACUGUGGUCCAAAAAUAUUACUGUUCUUUUGUACUAUCCAUGGUGUUACCGUAGACAUCUACAAGGGUUUUGAAACAUUUCACUCAUGACCUCAUGACAUGCAGGGAGAAAAGCGUCGUCUCUCCUUCUCAACUGCCGGCACAGUGUCCCCCGGAGCCCAUCACAUGACGCAGGGCUACUUCUGGUGGGACACCAUGGGGGCUCCAUGUUGAUAGUGUUGCGGCAGUGGAUGGACCCAGAGGAGUUGGGUGUACACUUAUAGAAAAAUGGCAGAGAAGCUGAAGAGGAAGCAGGAGACAGCAAGGAAACAUUGUGGGAAGGAAUAUAAUGGAUAAUGACAGUAGAGAACACUGUCCCCCUCUUUACAAAGGGCCCUCUGAUGAGAAGGAGGGACUACCAUUCUUUACAAAGGGCCCUCACAGAGAAGGAGGGACUACCAUUCUUGCAGGUGAGUGAUAAAUGGCAUGAGCAGCCCCUAAAAAAGUGUAUUUUAACUAUAGCACAUAAUUAAAUAGAGAACAGAACACUUAGGUUGUCUUAACAUCUUGUGUACAAAUUUCACGGUUUUCACACUGCUUUCUAACAGGUUACUUGCCAGUGUGGCAUCUUAAUAAUAACAAUAUUAUAAUAAUAAUAAUAAUAAUAAUAAUAAUAAUAAUAAUAAUAAUAAUACUUUAUUUUUCUAUCCCACCUUCAUCUCCCCGAAGGGACUUGGGGUGGCUAACAUGGAGCCAAGCCCAAAACAAGAACAAGGUAUGACAAGUUAAAAAAAUACAAAUAUCUAAACAGUAUCAACACAACAAUCAAGUAAAAUAAAACAGAUUAAAACACAAUAAUACAUUAUAACACCAUAAUAACCAGAUAAAAAUUAGAUAAUAAAAACAGCAUCACCACUAAUGGAUGAGAUGGGGGGCGAUCAAGUCAGAAAGUGCAUAAUUUCAAGACCAUUUAAUAAAGUGCCUGGACAAAGUGUCAAAGAGUUGUCUGGGAAAGUUUGGGAUUGGAUGAGAUAGGAAGGGAAAUAAAGUGCAAAAAGCAGGAUGUCUAUAUUAGGGGUCUGUCAUGUUGUUGAAUACUUGAAUGCACACUGGAAAAACCAUGUUUUUAACUGUUUAAUAAAGGCAGACAGGGUUGGGGCCAGUCUAAUCUCCCUAGGGAGAGAGUUCCAAAGCCAAGGGGCAACCACAGUGAAGGCCCUCUCCCUUGUUCCAACAAGCAGAGCCUGUGAUAAUGAUGGGAAUGAGAGGAGAGCCUCCCCAGAAGAUCGAAGAGAUCAUGCAGGCUUAUGGGGGAAAGACGAUAGCGAAGAUAGGUCCUGAACCAUUCAGGGCUUUGUAGGUGAUUACCUUCACCUUGAAUUGGGACCAGAAAGUGAACAACAGCCAAUGGAGCUCCUUAAAUAGGGGUUGACCACUCCCUGUAGGUUGCUCCAGUUAGCAGGCUGGCUGCUGAUCAUUGGACUAAUUGUAGUUUCCAGGCCACCUUCAAGGGCAGCCCCACGUAGAGUGCAUUGCAAUAAUCCAUCCUAGAGGUAACUAAGGCAUGGACCGCCAUGGCCAAGUCAGACUUCACGAGGUACAGUCGCAGUUGGCGCACAAGUUUUGAUUGUGCGAAGGCCCUCCCAGUCACCGCUGACACCUAGCAUCAAGCAUCAGAAGGACCCCCAAACUGCGGACCUGUGUCUUCAGGGGGAGUGCAACCCCGUCGAGCACAGGUUGCCACCCUAUGCCCCGAUCCGACGAGCGGCAGACCUGGAGGACCUCUGUCUUGUCAGGAUUGAGCUUCAGCUUGUUUGCCCUCAUCUAGCCCAUCACAGCGGCCAGGCUCUGGUCUAGAAUCCGAGGGGCUUCCUUGGAUUUCGGUGGAAAAAAAGUAGUAGAGUUGAGUGUCAUCUGCGUAGAGAUGGCACCGAACUCCAAAACUCUGAAUGACCUUUCCCAGCGUUUUCAUGUAGAUGUUAAAAAACAUGGGGGACAGAAUAGAACCUUGUGGGACCCUACAGGUCAAUGACCAGGGGUCCAAACAGGUGUCACCCAGCUUCACCUACUGGGAAUGGCCCUCCAGGAAGGAAUGGAGCCAUUGCAGAGCAGUGCCUCCAAGACCCAUCCUGGAGAGCAGAGCCAGAAGGAUACCAUAGUCGAUGCUGCCAAGAUGUCCAAGAGAACCAGAAGGGUCACACUCCUCCUGUCUAGUUCCCUGCGGAGGUCAUCCACCAAGGCAACCAAGGCGUCUUGGUACUGUGUCCAGGUCUGGAGCCAGACUGCUAUUGGUCUAGAAAAUCGUCAUCUAGGAAUCCCUGGAGCUGAGAAGCGAUCACCCACUCUAGCACCUUGCCCAAGAACGGGACGUUAGAGAUUGAUCUGUAAUUGUUUAGAACAGUAGAGUCAAGGGAGGUCUUUUUCAAUAUAGGUCUUACUAUCGCCCAUUUAAGGCAUGUUGGAACUUUCCCUUGAACCAAUGAGGUGUUUAUGAUAGUUACAAACCAAUCAAUCAGCUCACCACUGGCCAGUUUAACUAGCCAGGAAGGGCAAGGGUCCAGAGCACAAGCGGUCGCUCUCACAGCUCCAAGGAUCCCGUCCACGUCAUCAGGUCAAACAAGCUGGAACGAAUCCCACAGAAUCGACAGACAGGUGCCUCGGUUACCUUUUGUGAGUAUUGGCAUCAUAAUUCCUAGUGGAGGUCAGUAUUUCUCACUAUUUCUCUUACCAGAUAGGUCAUGCAUAUCUCUGGCCUGUCCAAUAUUUAAAAUAACUAAUAAUUUAUUUAAAUUAUUAAGUGUGUGUGUGGGAAUUAUUAACUCAAACCUUACAGGUAUUUCAGGUAUUUAGCAAGUCAGCAGAAUGAGGGAAGGUUUGAUAUCAAUUUGACUUUUUGUGAGAAUUUUAAUGAGAUUUAAGGAGAAAUAAUUAUAGUCCAGAAUAGUAUCCCAGGAGCUAGUGACUGUAUGGUUGGGGUAGGGAAUCUAAUAUAUGUGUGUGUCAAAAUGUGUCUGUCUGUCUGUACUACAAAGGCUGUUGCUAGGUGAAGUGGCCCUCUGUGAUGUCACCAAGAAAAAUAGUGAUAUGUGUAUGCCACAAAGAUAACCAUGUUGCCAUGGAGACAUUGUAAAGUAGGAUCUCUUAGAGCUGGAGGAGGAGGAGGAAGAAAGAGGAGGAAGGAAAGAAAAAAAAACAAGAAGGGAGGGAAGGGGGAAGAAAGAAAAAGCAUAUAUAUAGUAUAUAAUUGAAUGGAAAGGGGGGAAAGUGUGAGAGGAGGAAAAGUGAAAGAAAGGAAAGCAGGGGAAGAGGCCCCUCCAACACCCAACGAACUUUGGGUAUACUGUAUAUAUGCUAAUGUUUCUAUCAUAAUGUCAGUGCAGGGUGUGCCUAGCUAGAGUCAUUGACCUUUAGAAGGGUUUUUCCUAGUCUACAUAUGCACCAUGUCAAGUGCUUAACUCAUAGCUUGCAUGCUUCUCUAAUCCAAACUUUCUCCAAGAAACACCCUGCUCGCUUGUGACUCAUUACAGAAGGCCCCCCACUUUCAUGGGGGUUAAGCAGAAAGGACUCCCAAAAAUAAAACCACAAAUAAAAACAGAAGUCAUUUUUUAUUUGAGAGGACACCUCUUUGGGAAUCCCUAGGUUCUUCAGGGUAACACUGUAGUCAAUUUUAAGUUGUGGAUAGAGUCAUACUGAAAGACCAAAAGAUUUCUAGAUAGAAAAUAAUAAUCAAAUCAAUGAAUAGUCAAAUCAGCAAAAGUUAAACCCACAAAUGUAGAAGUCCAACUGUAGAAGGCAGCAAUUCCCAUCUAGAUCUUGCUAAAACUUCCCCCCUCUCCAAACACAAACAGAUACCCAAUAAUGUGAAAUAAGUGAUACUGAUCACAGUUACUAGAAAGGGAGGCGGUUUUCAUCCCCCUAUCUCACUGUGACCCCAAACCAGCUUCCCUACUCCUCACAGUUUUACAUUGAAGUGUUCCUCUGUCUCCAUAUCAAUUUUGGUGUUUUCACACUUACACUUAGAGCCUUUAGGCCUCUAAAAGCUGUAUACCACCGUGUAGUUAAAUUAGCAGUGUUGGGCACCGGACAUAAUGAAAUCACCCUGAAACAAUGUCAGCUACUCCCCAUCCCUUGUCUCCAAUUACAAACAAAUUGAAAAUGCUGUGAAAAGGCUUUUUGUAUGAAAAAAGUUGAAUUGAAAAAAUGAUUAUUGGUCUGUUAAAGAUAAAACAUUUCCUUUUCUCAUACCGUUACUUAAGUCUAUGAUUGCACGCACAAAGUCAUGCUUAAAUGCAGCUCAUGCAUAAAUCUCUUCUGUCUCUUGGCCCAGAAAGCAGGAAUUUUAUAUCCUGGACUUCCAACAAAGUAAAGAUAGUUUAUAAAUAUCCACUAAUAAAUGUAUUUUAAUUUUCUUGCUUCUGGAAUCUAUUUCUUUCUCCUAAAUAUUUUAAAAGACAUUUUGUUAUGCCCUUGUGCUGAAAAAAAAUUGGAGAAAAUCAAACUGAAAAGAUAAUGUUAGAUCUUUAUGGUAGUUUUGGAUAGUGUUGCUCUGGUAUUUGAUCAUCAGAUUCCACAAGCAACUCUACCCAUAGAUGGCCUUGAAAUGGAUAUUCUCAUGUCAAUUAGAAACUGUGAAAGUAACAGUUUAAGGACAAUACCAAGGGCCAGAGUUUGGGUUGAUUCAAUUCCAUUUUAUAAGCACAGAUGGUCUGAAAGCUGUCCUACCAGCUGGAGAUUUGUAAGCGUAAGGUUUGGCAGCGUUCCUGGUGAAUCAAAACAAGAUUGCUUUGGAGGUUUUUUGUGUAUAUGUGUGAUGUGUGGGUGAGAAGUACAGGAAAGUACUUGUGUUCUUAAGUGUAGUCCUCAGCUUUAGUUCUAGUCACCUAAAUAUACCUUUAGCUAAUAAUUUAUUAUACUAUAAUUGUAGGUUCAUAGACACCAAGGUAUAUUUGGGGCAGCAGUUAUAUUUCUAGCUUAUUUUUCAGAGAGGUUUUCUCUCUUUUCUUUGCAAAAUCACUUUCAUGUUGUAAGGGAUCAGCAUCUUUGGAGGGCUUGGUGCCACCGCAUUCCCCAGAUGAGAAGCUUUCAACUUGGCUUGUCCAUUGUGAGUGUAUCCCUGAGAAAUCUGGCAGGCUUCAAGUUGGAGGUGGAACCCUGGUCAGAGCCUUGCAUUGUUCUAAAUCUGUAAAGCAGCUUCUUCAUCCUAAGCCUAAUGUCUGAUUAAUGCAGCACCACUAAUGUUCAUGAUUCUGUACAGUGUUUCAUAACCCAAAUUUCAAAGUCCUUCAUCCAAAGAGCUUGCAGUGUAAUAUUCAAACUUAAUAGAAAAACUGUAGACCUGUCUUAAAUAUUCAAAAGAUGGUUGUUUUAAUUAACACAAUAAAGAAAAUGAAAAUCUUUUAACCUGUGUAUAGUUCCAAUACUUUCCCAGAAAGCUGUUUUGAAAGUAAUAUUUUCUGGUUGCUUGAGAGUUUCUAAUCCCCGAUAUUUCUGAACUUAAAUUAUAAAUAGUCCCUAAGAAAGGCUUUGGCCAUAUGCUCAGAUUAAAACAAUUCAGGUGUUUUUUAACUAAUAAAAUAACCAUCUUUUGAGCACCUUGAGACAUGUCUGCAGUGGGGUUCUUUUUUUAUGAGAAAAGAUAUUUAACCCAAUACCUUUCCAAACAAUCCCUUUUCUCCUUCCUGAAUAAGGCUUGAGAACUUAUCCCAGGCUUACCUCAAAUGAAUCAGUCAGUUUCAUAGGGUAUGUCCCAGCCUCAAGGUUUACGGAUGAAAGGUGAGCCCCAAGGCUGUGUUCUAAGCAGAUCUGGUCUGUGACUCUGUGAACAACUGAAAAUCCCACAUGUGUUGCUUCUUUUGAUCCCACCUUUUAAGAGUCCAGUUCCUUCCAUGGCAACUUACAAGUCAAAGUAAAUCAUAGAGCAAGAAGACAAUAUCAAAUAUAAAUAUAAGUAUUCAUCAAGAUCAUUCCCAUAAAAUACCAACUUCUAUUUUUCUUUGUAAUGUUUCCUACUGGGUUAUUAUUAGUUGUAGAUAAAAGCAAUUUUGUAUAAAAAAGAUGAGGAAUAUAGUAAUGAAAUACCAAUAAUGAGAUCUACACUGGAGUUGAGUGAACAAGGCAUAAUGGUGAAGUCAAUGUGUCAUUGCGUUGGUAUUUGGGCCAGGGGUUGUACAGCUGGAUGCUCUUUGCUGCAUCAGCCUCUGCACCUACUCCUUCCCAGUGAAUUGUUAACCAGGGUAGAUUCUCCACAUAACUGAGAGCAAAGAUGAAUGGAUAACAUUGGAAUAGUUGAUUAGUUCCAUGUGUUUCAUGCAUUUGAACUCAGUUGAUUGCAGAUUUUUUUAGACAAAGAACUAUGGUUGACUGCCUUGCAUGCAGGAGUUCUCAGUAUUAGUCUCUCUAAUCUGUCACCCCAAUAGGGAAAAUUCAUAGUGUAAAAUUUUACUGACAAAGUAUUGCAGACCCUUUGUGGGUGAAUUUCUGUUGGGCUACCAUGAACUUUAGUUACCAGAGGCAAAAGUGAGGAAUUCUGAGGAGUGACAACUCCCCAACAUAAAUAACUCUGAGCAAGAAGAACAAACAAUUAAUUGGUUGAAUGUACAAUCAGCCCUCUACAUUUGUGGGUUCAGAUUUUGCAUGUUUGAUCAUUCAUGGAUUUAGUUGAUGCAGUCUUUCUAAGAAUCUCUAGGUCCUGCAGCAUGACUUUGUGGUUAACCUCUGGUGAAACUUCACUUAGAGUUAUCCUGCAAGACUUAAGAAAUUCCUAGAGAAGUAUCCUCUCACAUCUUUAAAAAAAGUUUUUUUCUUAAUUUAUUGUGAAAGUGGGGGGCCUGUUGUAUACUCUGUCUUUCCUUCAGUGUAGGAUCCCAGAUGGCUUCCAGUAGUUUAAAACAAGCUAAGUUAAAAUCCUAUUUUACAAAAGAUUUUAAAGAUAGUUGAAUAAUAGCAGUAUUUUAAAAAUGUUUAUAAAAUGAUAAUUUAAAAAAUAAUUACUAAUAAAACACCAUUUACACACCCUACCACUAUAUAAUUGAACCUCAAAAGUUCUGCUUAAAUGAAUAGGUCUCCACUUGCUGAGGAAAUGAGAACAAGGAGGGGGCCAGCCAGACCUCCUGAGGAAGGGAAUUCCCAGGCAACGAGCAACCACAGAGUUGACUCUACUCUGUCCUCGCCAAACUUGAGUGGUGAAACAGAGAAAUCCUUCCUCUGCUAAUUUUACAUAGGGAGAUACUACCUUUAGAUAGUCCAUACUCAAGCCAUGGAAUGCUGUCUAGUUUGAUGCAUAACUGCUUCUUUUUAAAGCUAGAAUCUUGCAAAGAGCUACAGCAUCUCCAAGAAAACAUUGAAAUACAGAUGAAAUCUUCAUUUUGUGUGUCUCCUUCCUUUCCUUGUGCCUCUUUCCUUUUUGAGAACAUAUUUUCAUUUCUAAUCUCCAUACCCCCUCUAGACAAUUAUCUUCAGUUGUCACCUACACAGUCUUAUUUUCCAAUCAAACAAGAUGAGAGAGAAAAAAGUUGAAUGAAAAUCAAAUUAGCCAAUGUCCAUGUAACUGCUCCACUGGCAUCAAUUUCAACAAAUAACUAGCUUGCUGUCAGAAUAAAUCAACACUAAUCAUACAAAUUACUUGGAUUUUAAAAAUAAAUAUUACUUUGUCACCUAAUAGCUAAAUCACUGCUGUUGUAAAUUUAUAGUUAGCAUCCUCCCAGACACUGUUUUAUCUAGCUUUCUGACAGGACCUUGUUUCUUAGUGCACAUGAAGAUUAAUAUGCAAAGACAGCAUGUGUUCCUUGGGUAUCCUGUUGAGACGGAAAAUGCACAUAGUCCUGCCCACACUUGAGUUGGAAAAAAACACCGUGUUUAUGAAGGAACCAUGGACAGCACAUUUCACUUUUUUUUUAAAGCAAGUGGCAUUUGUGUUCAAAAUAAAAGUUCAUGUGAGAGCUAUAUUAACUGCUAGGUAGCUGAAUUAAUAGGGCUUGUACCUAAAGACAUCAGAUCCUAUCUCCUCUUGGAAGCCAAGAGAUCAGCCCACAUUAGUACCGCCAAUGAAUACCAGGUGCUCUAAGCUAUAUUUUAGAGGAAAGCUGGCAAAACCACUUCUGAAUAGUUCUUGCCUAAAAACACUGUGUGAAAUUAUGAAAUUGUUGUAAGUCGACACAUAACAUGAAGGCAUAUUCACAUUUGAAUUAAUGUUCUAGAGUGGAAGGAUAGAUGACACACUGGAAAAUAAGAACAGAUUUCAAAACUACCUCAAUAAACUACAAAAACUGUUCUGAAAAUAAUAAAAUGAUGUUCAACAGAUACAAAUGUAAUACUCUCAAUUUAGGCCACAAAAAACCAACAAAAUAUGAGAUGGGGGAUAGUUACCUCGGAAUAGUACCAUGAAAUUAUUGUUGAUCAUUAAUUGAACAUGAAACAACAGUUUGAUCCUGCCACAAAAAGGCAAAUGCUGUCUAUUUCCAAACUAAGGGAACAAAUAGUUUCUCUAUAUUCUUUGCUGGCUAGAACUUUUUUGAGUACAGCAUUUUGUUCUGGGUGCCUGACUUUAAGCAGGAUAUAGUAAAGUUGGUGUGAAUUCAGAGAAGGGCAAGAAGGAUGAUGAGAGGUGUGGAAAGCAAAACAUGUGAGGAGAGGAUGGAGGACAUGGGCAUGUUCAGCUUGGUAAAGAGAAGACUGAAGGGUGACAUGAUCACACUCUUUAAAUAUCUCAAGGGUUGCCAGGGAGAGAAGGGUGCAGGCUUGUUCUUUGCUACCUCAAAGAGUAGAACUAGGUCUUAUGGUUUGAAGUUACAGGAGGGUAAAUUUGAAUUGAACGUUAGAAGCAUCUUUUUCACAGUGGGAGCAGUUUGAUAAUAUAACCAAUUGUAUAGAAAGGUAAGUGUCCUCUAGAUGUCUUCAGAAAAAGUUUGGACAGCCACCUGUUGAGGAUGCAGGAAAUCCUGCCCUGAGCAGAGUUUGGUCCUGAUGGUCCAUGAGGACUCUUCUGGGUUUAUGAUUCUAUGCAAAACUGUGAAAAUAGACAUUGCCUUCUGUUGUAUUCCCCCUUCUCACCCAACCCACCCCCAGUUUUAAUUUGCUGUAUUUGUGAUUCAGUGCCCUCCUCCGCAUGCACACACACACACACACACACACACACACACACACUUACCUCCCUUCAAGAUUAUUUCUUUCUUCCUAGUUGUAUCUCAAGAAGCAGACUCUUGUUAAAAAGAGACCUGAUUAGUCCUUCCUUAUCUGGCCUAUCUGAUACCUAGUAUUCCAGCAAUGAGCCACCCACUCCAGGUAACCUUCAAUAAAAUGCCAAAAGAAACUAUCACUCUACAUUUAUGUUUUCUGCCUGUUAAAAUAAAUUACUUCAUAAAGUCAAUGUCCUCUGGUAAUCUAUACUGAAAUAGGAUUUGUUAACCUAUAGGUGGCUUAAGUCCUCUACUCCUUUGUUUAAAAUUCAACACAAAACCAUCCUACACUCCGUACUGUACUUCAAGAAGGCUCAAAACGUGACCAAGAGGGUGAGAUUUACAAUAACAAAAACUUCACUCUGAGGUCCAUUAAAGCAAAUUCAGUUCCCUCAAAAAAUAAAACUCAGUGACUCAUACAAAGCAAAAUGGCCAUUCACUGCAGCCACACAAAUACACAGAUACAACAAAGGACAAGAGGUCCCAAACAGUCCAUGCUACGAUGGCAACACAGUCAGGAACUAUUCAAAUGCAUGCAAGACAGAUAUCUCAGGAACAAAAUCCAAACUGCUCAUCUUGGAUCAUACACGGGCAUAGUAAGAGCCACGAUGGUGAAAUGGGUUCAACCCUUAUGCCAUCUGAGCUGCUGACUUGAAGGUUGGCAGUUCAAAUCCGUGAGGCGGGAUGAGCUCUCGCCUGUCAGCCCUAGCUUCCCAUGUGGGGACAUGAGAAAAGCUCCCUGCAGAAUGGUAACACAUCCGGGCGUUCCCUGGACAACAUCUUUGAAGAUGUCUGAUUCUCUCACACUAGAAGCGACUUGCCUCAAUUCAUUUUUUUAGGAGCCUCCGGUGGCCUAGGGGAUAAAAGCCUAGUGACUUGAAGGUUGGGUUGCUGACCUGAAAGCUGCCAAGUUCGAAUCCCACCCGGAGAGAGUGCGGAUGAGCUCCCUCUAUCAGCUCCAGCUCCAUGCGGGGGCAUGAGAGAAGCCUCCCACAAGGAUGGUAAAACAUCAAAAAAACAUCCAGGCGUCCCCUGGGCAACGUCCUUGCAGACGGCCAAUUCUCUCACUCCAGAAGCAACUCUGGUUGCUCCUGACACGAAAAAAAAAAUUCAUUUUUGACCUGAUUUUUUUAAAAAAUACAAAGACACAGUGUGUAUGUAUAGUCAUGGAAUUAAUCCAAGAGAAUAAUUAAAACAUGCAUACAUUUACAAUUGCAUGUUCUGUGAAGCUAAGCUGCUUUAUCACUUUAGUCCCCCUGAAAUAUGUCCACUCGUAACAGCUUCUAACUCUGAACUUUUGCAGGUUUUUUUAAAGUAUAUGUCUUGGAGUCCUUGUGGACAACAAGUUAAACAUGAGUCAGCAAUGUGAUGCGGCUGCUAAGAAAGCCAACGGGAUUUUGGCCUGUAUCAAUAGGGGUAUAGCGUCUAGAUCCAGGGAAGUCAUGCUCCCCCUCUAUUCUGCCUUGGUCAGACCACACCUGGAAUACUGUGUCCAAUUCUGGGCACCGCAGUUGAAGGGAGAUGUUGACAAGCUGGAAUGUGUCCAGAGGAGAGCAACUAAAAUGAUCAAAGGUCUGGAGAACAAGCCCUAUGAGGAGCGGCUUAAAGAACUGGGCAUGUUUAGCCUGCAGAAGAGAAGGCUAAGAGGGGACAUGUUAACCAUGUACAAAUAUGUGAGGGGAGGUCAUAGGGAGGAGGGAGAAAGCUUGUUUUCUGCUGCCCUGCAGACUAGGACGCGGAACAAUGGCUUCAAACUACAGGAAAGGAGAUUCCACCUGAACAUCAGGAAGAACAUCAGGGGCCGGGCUGUGGCGCAGGCUGGUAAACAGCUGCUGCAAUAAAUCACUCUGACCAUGAGGUCAUGAGUUCGAGGCCAGCCCGUGGCAGGGUGAGCACCCGUCAAUUAAAAAUAAAAUAUAGCCCCUGCUCGUUGCUGACCUAGCAACCCGAAAGAUAGUUGCAUCUAUCAAGUAGAAAAUAAGGUACCACUUAUAAAAGUGGGGAGGCAAGUUUAACUAAUUUACAACAUUGGAAUGAGGAAGUACCAUCAGAGUGGAUGAUGAAGCAGCUGCUCCCCCCUGUGUCCAGACUCGAACAUCCCCUCAGGAGAAGGUUAAAUUGCCUCUGCGUCUGUCUGUCUGUUGUCUCUGUCUCGGUUCGAUGUGUUUAUGGGCAUUGAAUGUUUGCCCUAUAUGUACAUAAUGUGAUCCGCCCUGAGUCCCCUUCGGGGUGAGAAGGGCGGAAUAUAAAUACUGUCAAUAAAUGUAAAUAAAUAAAUAAACUUCCUCACUGUGAGAGCUGUUAGGCAGUGGAACUCUUUCCCCCUGACUGUGGUGGAGGCUCCUUCUUUGGAGGCUUUUAAACAGAGGCUGGAUGGCCAUCUGUUGGGGGGUGCUUUGAGUGCGAUUUCUUGCUUCUUGCAGGGGGUUGGACUGGAUGGCCCGUGAGGUCUCUUCCAACUCUACUAUUCUAUGAUUCUAUGACUGGAUUAAAGAUUCCAGUAGUAGACAAAUGUUGUGAAAUUACAAUUGCAAGCCUGUGCUUCAACAAUGCAAACAAUACAUUUGAAUAUCUUACAUCAGAUUAUAAUUCAAGAUGGAAUUCCUAACUCUUAUUAAAUCAUUAUAACAAUAUUUAUUCUUCAAAAUAAAUGCAUUUCCUUAACCUUCAAAUGAUCACCACAGUUACCUUUAACCGUUGAAGAGUGUAUGUAUUAUUGAGACACUUUAUAUGUAAUGUUAUAGGUAAGUGAAGUAAUAGUAAUAAAAAGCUUGGCAAAUGUCAAAUUAUUUUUUUUGCUUUUUUUAAGCACAAAAAAUUCAAGGUAUGAAGUAUCUGAAAACGCAUGCUUUGGGCAGGAUAGGUUCCUGACAGUGAUUUUAGUCAGAACAUAUUGGCUUUAUGAGAACUAGCUUCAUGUGACUUCUCUCUCUCUUUCUCACGCAUGUGUUUCACCAGUCUGCGCCUCUCUCCAUUUUCUUGUGGUUUGGGUUCAAACCAAUCCUCUUCAUGGGAGAAAGCACAAGGGAGACAUCUACUGAAAAUGUUUACACAUUUAGAGGUCACCGUUAUAGCAGUUUGACACCAUCAGCCAUCUUAAAUUCUUUACAGUUACCUACUUGAGUGAAUGAUGGACCUGGAACCUACUUGGCACUCAAACCCAACAUGGUCAACUUUGCAUACUGGCAGGAUUUGGGAGUGAUUGACCUUGACAUCCAGGAGUUAUAGUUCACCCGUAUUCAGAGGAUACUGAAUCCAGCAGAUGAGGGAUCUGGACCAAACUCGGCACAUAAAUUCAACAUGGCCAACUGGGAAUACUGGUGGACUUUGGGGUGAUUGAUCUUUAUCUCUGGGAGUUAUAUUUCACCUGUGUUCCAUUAGCCCUCUGAACCCUACCAAUGACGGAUCUGGGCCAAAUUUGGCACACAGACCCAACAUGGCCAAUUGUGAAUACUGCGGGAGUUUUGGGAGGAUUGACCCAAGAUUUUGGGGAAUUGUAGUUCACCCCCAUCCUUAUGCAUUUUCUAAUGGGAGCAUUUAUAAAAAAAACAAAAGCAAAGACUGAGUUCUUUUCUAAGACAUAGUGUAACAUAUUACCAAAUUGAUAUUACCUAACAUCCAAAAACAAACAAAGCCCUUUUCAAAUAACCCGGCAAUGCCAGGUUCCCAAGCUAGUAUAAAAUAAAACAGCUGGGUCACAUAAGGCUUGCAUUAGUUAACACAAAAUUAUGAAGCUUCAAGAGACAACUUGAAGGCUUAUUCCAAGGAUGACUUUCAAGCUCCACUUUUCUCAUGAGUUCCAUUUUGUUGACCAAAAUUAUAGAUGUAUGUUUUUUUUUAAUAGAUUGGGGUAGCUGGUGAGGCAGUUCUAUUCUUCUGUCCUCUUUUAUUUCUCUUUUGCUGUUCAUGAUUGCCCCUCCUUAAAAUGAAUCCCAUGGCAGUUAAUUGGUGCUUAACUGCUGUAAUGUACAUAAAUAUCUUUUUAUUUUGAAGAGUUUCUGUAAUGAAAUCAUAAGAGUGCACCUGAAAGCCAUGAAGGUAACCCAAAUGAGUGUCCAGAGUGGGUUUGUGCACUAAACCCACAGGCACUAGAGACGGCUUCCAAAGUAACUUCUUCCUUUUCUGACUGAAAGAUCUACUAGUAUGAGCAGAAAAGAAAUGAGACCAGUUGGCAUCUGUGGUUCCCUGCCCCCACAGCUUCAAUUAAAACAUAUUUUAUCAGCCAGUAGUAAAAAGGGUCUUAGUCCAGUAGUCAUGUUGUAGCAAUGUCUGAAAAUGUGUUAGGUUUUUGCAAAUGUCCUUUCAAGAGGUUAUAGCCCAUAGCAAUUCCCCACUCAGGGGUGGAGAUAAAUUAUUUCUCCCAUCACGAUGCAGCUGUAGUGACAUCCUGUCGGACUGGGUUAGCAUCACUUUGGGAGUGCUCUGACAUCUCCUCCUGCUCUCAGAUGCAUCCUUCCCUCCAGGCAUCAGAGCGUAUCAGGAAUGAUAUAUCUAAGGAGUAGUGCCUGACUUCAUUUACCCCUCCCACUCCCAUACACAUCCUCAUUACAAUGGCAGGCAGUGGUUGGAAGUGAUACAUCUUUGUUUUGCAAGAUGUCAAGCUUAUCUUUUGUUAAAAGUAGAAAACCCCAGUAUCACCACCACCUAAGUUAAAAACCUCUUGCUGGCUUUUCAGAAGGUGAAAACAAACUCUUGUUUCCUAACAAUGCCAGGCUAUCCUCUUCCAAGCCUAUACUUCCAGAAUGCUGUCCAUUAGGGGUGUGCAAAACCCUGAUCCAUUUUCGGUGGCCUGAAUUCGGUGGCCCCCGAUCCAUUUUUCGGGACAUGUCCAAAUUUAGGAGGACAAAAAGUAGUUUUCCAUUGUGGCACCCAAAAGAUCCAUUUUUGAUCCGGGAAGAUCAGGCCCAUUGGCAGCAAUUGGGGGGGGGGGCUUCCCAGGCUCCCCUUUCCAUCAUUUUUAGGGCUAUCGGGAUAAAAAUGGCCACUUGGAGGACACAUUUACCACUGUCAGCCUCCCAAGUAUCAUAACAUUUGAGUCAUCCCCUGAUUUUUAGGAAAUUCUUUAAAAGGUAUCCCCCCUUUCCCGGCCUGACCCUGUAAUUUCUCCAGUUACAGAUAGCAGCAGCAGCAGGACAAUGCCAAACUGCGAAAGAUGCAGAGUUCCACAUAUCCCACAAUUUACAGGAAUCUAUUGAACUUUCUUUACUAAUAAAAAUAACAGCAACUUCUAUCUAAGCUUUUGCAUUUCAUUCUCAUGCUUGUGUCAACACAACAUACCGAAAGAGGCCAUCACCCACAAGCAGCAUGUCCCCUUAUAAGAAAAACACUCCAGUAUGAUGCACUGAAAAUAAAAUUAAAAAUGUAUUGUAGGAAAUUUAGCCAUGUUUGGAAAAAAAACCCAAUAUUUUUGGAGAAGUAAUAUUACUUUAAAAGUAACAGUUCUGUUCCACCAGAGCAGAAGGCAAGACAAUGGCAACCCCAAAUAGGGUAAUGGAAGGACUCAGGGACAGGGUGAGAAGGAUGACUUCAGGGCAGGCAGGCAUCAGUGUUUUGGCUGGCAGGCAGGGAAGUGGCUGGCAACUGGAGAAGGUGGGGAUUAGGGCUGUUGGAUGUGAUUGGCUGCCAGGUCCAGGAGGCUUGCUGUCAGCUGUCAGUCAGUUCAGCUGUGGGUCAGACUGGAAUGGAUGGAUGAUGGAUGCUCCAUGGAUAGGAGUAGCUGGAGAGAAAGGAAAGAUACAAUAAAUUAAUAUAAAGUAGUACAUCUAAUGGUAGGCCAUUCCACCCACACACCUCUUAAAUUACUCAGCUCUCCAAACAAGGGAAGGGUAGCAGGUGGCCACUGUGGGGCAGGUCGCAGAUUACUGUUUGCAGCAGAGAAUGAGAGGCUCCCAGAAAGCUUGAGAGAGGCUCUGGACGGAGGGUGGAUGGAUAGGAGGGGCUGGGGAGAGAAGAAAGAUAAAAUAAAUUAAUAAAAGGACUAGUAGUACAUCUGGCCCAAUCUACCCACCCAUCUUAAGUUAAUCAGCUCUCUAAACAAGGGAAAGGUGGACACUGUGUGGUAGGGUAGGUUACGUCAUCUGAGAAUAAACCUCAACCUGAGAAACAUGAGGGCAGUGUCACUAAAUCAAUCAUUAGGCACCUUUCUCUUCCAUUUUGAAAUGUUAAGUGUGUGUGUGGACUGUGGAAUGGACAGUUAGAACCAACCCAGACAAUGAGUGUAUGUACAUAGAAAUAAUUUUUUUUUCUGAGCUACACAGACAUGUGUGCUCUAGAGUUCUGCAAAAAAAACUACCAUGCAAAUCUAAUGUCAUUCGAUCCAGCUGCUAAGUUCCCAGUGGUCCUGAAAGCAACUUCUUUGUGUGAUUCCCUCCAGACCACGAACCAAAAACUACAAGUUUGCAGGAGGUGGAAGCCUCAUCGGACUGGCCCUGGGACUCCAUUCCCCGACUAACUAUUGCCUACUUCCCAAACUAAUGGCCAUUGGCCAGUGUCCACCAGUGAGGCACCUAAUUAGAAUUGAAGCCAAUCAACAAUUCCAACAGCCCUUGUUUGGAAAACUGCUUAACUAUAAACACGGAGCCACAGGCCACACUGCGCAGCCGUCAUGUCUGACUGGGAAGCAGAAGCAUUGGCAACUGGCAAGCCAACCCAAAGCAUGAUGAGGAUGAAGACAAAGAGAGAAACUUGGUCUUAUAAAAUACCCAGCCUCAGGUGUAUAGGAGAGACAAGGCCGGAAAGGGCACAGAAAGAAAGAAAGAACGAGCCACAGGCUGUGGAAGAGAAUAUGGCAUUUGGAGAGAGCAAGUGUAGGGUUUUUUAGUUUAGUCUUCACUUUAACUUAGCCUUCUGUAUUGUUCCCCAAUACAUUUAUGUCGUUUCACACCUAUAGUAGGCUAGGCUUGGGCAAUUAAGGCAUGCACCAUAAGGGAAACUUGAAAUGGGCUUCUUCUACCAGGUUGACGGUGGCUGGAGGGGAGAACUUGCACCAGCAGAAAGGCACUUCAGGUGGAAGCAAAACAAAAUGUAUUAUAGUCGGUGGCGGCCAAGAAAGGGAACACAUUCUGUAUCCAUGUGAAUUGUACCAGAGCAUAGUCGGUCACAGAGAGAUCAUACUAGUGAAACCUUAUUUCCAGUGCUGAAAACAAACCCUGUGGCAUCAGAUGAAAUUAAAAAUACUGUCCUACAUGUAGCAUUUCUCAAAUAUUCACAGGUAUGUGCCAUUGAUGAAUGACAUGCGGUCUUAUUUAUUUAUUUGGGAAAUUUCUAUAUCACCUUUCUCCAAGGACUCCAGAUGGUUUACAACAACAGUUCAAACAUACAAUAUGAAAUAAUAUAAUAAUAUUUAAUAAAACUUUAUAUACCGCUACAUCUCCUCGAGAGGAUUCAGGGAUUCCAACAUGAACAUAAAAACAUUCAGUUGUCAAAAAACACCACACAACAAAGUUCAACAUAAUACACAUAAUAAACAACAUCAUAAGACAAAAUCAAAACAAUUCUAUUAAACAGACACAUAAUUACAAAUCCAAAGCAAUGUACUCCAUCAAGGAUUCAAAUACCAGUAAACAGAACUUCAAGGUAGACAUAAUAAGCCAUUAAAAUAAUCCCGAAUCGGUCCUUGUUGGACGUAACAUUACCAAUUAAAUAAAUAAAAACACAAGGAAAUGUAAUAUUACAAAGUACAAAUCUUAGGCUUAUAACAUGCUUGAAAUGAUGCUAUAAAACAAAGACUCCACUAAAAUUGCAGGAAUGGAUGUGAAAUUGAGUUGUUGAACAGCAGCUGUUGAAAAACUUCAUUCUCUCAAUUUAAAUUCCUUAAACUAAGUAAAACCUUGGCACCUGACUUUUGGACUGUAAACUGUAAAUGGCCUAAAACAUGUGGAAUUCAUGUAAGGUUAAUAUUAAAGAUAAUAUAGGUAUGGCCAGAAUGUGAGAAAAUCCCUAUUCCUCAGGAAGUAUAGACAGCACAGUUUUGGGGACUUGAUCUUCAGAGGAUGCAUGUCUUUUCUUUAGACUCCACAUCCAGUUUUGUAGUCAUCUUACAUCACUUUUUCUCUCCCCACCCAUUAGCGCAGAAGGCAGCACUCACGAAAGCUAUUAAGUUUAAUUACAUUUUGCAUGCCCUGUCUUUGAAGUUUGAAGGGCACAUCCACCUUCAUCUGAACAUUACUUUCAGGGUUCCUUAUGGAGUUUGAAUACUUCCAAAAGAUGAGGAUUCGUUUUUAUAAUGAUAUAAUAGAUCAUGAGCUCACAGCCGAUUUAUGGUGGUAUAAAAUUAGUUGCUGGAAAGUGCUGAGCCUCCCACCUCCCCACAGAAAUUUUUCAUCUUCGGGGAGAAUAGUGGUGGUAGGGAAUCCAGCACAAGGUCUUAAUGUAGUCAAUUUCCUUUCUCUUUCUGACUCCUUUUCCUCAUGCAUAUUUGAUAUUUCUCCAAUUAGAAGAGGCUUCUUUCUACCUGAGUUGAACAUCUGUUUGAUUUCAUCUUGGUCUAUAGCAACUUUUGGUCAUAGAUUUACUAUUAGUUCCAUGCUGCAUUGGAGAUGGGAAAACCUGUCAGUUCCUUGUUCCCCUCAACUGAGAUUUUGUUAAAGUUUUAGGUCCUUUGUGUUUGGAAUAUGAAGAAGUUUGCAAAUGUUAAUAAAUUCCUCAAAAUGGGUGGAAACCAAAUCUCUCCACCUGUAUUGGCUAUAUUCAAUAGCUAUGCUAGAAUGUAGAGAAUAAUCUCAAAUCUGUGUGCCAUAAGAGUGUUAAAAAGUGAAGUAUGUCUCAGGGAUGGGGGAUUGGAGGAAAUGGCAGUCUUCUAAGUGUUCUGCUCUUUGAACCCUGGGUCUGGAUUGAAAUAUGAGAAUUUCUGUUCCUUCCUCACAGGAAUUUAUUUAAAAGAAAAACUCAUUCUAUUGCCCAGAUGAACAAACAUGAAAACUUUUGCUAAAUACUAAUGGAAUUCUUGCCCUCUAUUAGCAUUUGCCUGGUUCCUUCAUAAAGCUCAAGAAAAGUUAAUAUAUGCUGGUAAAUCUCUUGACUGAAAUUACUUGCUUCCUUCAAUACUGAGUUUACCAGGUAUGAGGUUAGAGCAAGGUUUGGGAUUAUGCAGCCCUCCACAUAUUUCUCAACUAACUCAUAGUAUUUCUCAUCAUUGGCUGUGCUGCCCAUGGCUAUGGGAGUUACAAUAUAAAAACAUCUGGAGGGGGCCUCAUGGUUCCCACCCUGGACCAGAGAUUUUAUUAGCAUUCUUUCUUUAGAAGUGGGGGGUUUCAGGUGCAAAAGUUUGGAUGUUCAAGGUGUAGAUAUACAUCUAUAACCAAAAUAUACCCAAUCCUUGCCAUCAUGUGAGACAUGAGAAACAAAAUAGCCAACUUGUACUCAAUACAGUUAAGAUCAAUUUUUUUUCAUGUUGUUGUUAACUGCUGUUAAGUUGCCUUUGGCUUAUGGCAACUCCGUCAAUAAGGGACCUCCAAGUACUGUAUCCAAUACCUCCAACAAGGCUGCUCAGGCCUUGCAGACUCAGGCUUCAUUGAUUGAGUUUGUUCAUCUGAAAUGUAGUCUUCCUGUCACUGCUUUCUGCAUUGCCAAGCAUUAUUCUCUUUCCUAAUAAAUCAUUUCUUUUUGUGAUAUGGCCAAAGUACAACAGUCAGAGCCGUCCCGAGGUAAUUUUUGGGAGUAGGUGACCGGAAUUUUGGCUCCCCUCCCAAAUUUUGCUGCCCCCCAAAAAUUGUUGAUAAAUACUGGUGGCGGCAGAAGGCCCAGCUGCUCGACCGUGCGGCUGCCCUCCUGCUCUCCCUCGCUGUCGCCCACUGCCCGCCCGUCGACCUGGGAGUUGUAGUUCUCCCUUCCCCAGAUAAGCCAAGGACGGGCCUGGCCCUCGCCUCCCAACACAGGGCGCGCCUCCUCCUCCUCCUUUUCACGACCCCACACGAGAAGGCAGAGAGAUCCACAAACAAGGAAGGCAUGUCCCCAGUCUCCCUCCCUCCCCCCCUCCCCCCCCUCCCUCCCUCAGGGCUUCUCCUUCUUCUUUACUCCAAGGCUUCCAUCUUUCUCUCCCUCUCUCUCUCUCUCUCUGCCCACACAAGCCCCUCCUUGCCACCCGUCAAUCAAGGCCGGAGAGCGGCAGGCAGCCAAUGGGGGGCCUUCAGUGGGCGGAGUGUCACGGGCUCAGCCAAUGGGAGGGGGAGCGGGCUCCGGGGAAGGAGGCCGAGGCCGAUGGUAGAUGGUCCUGUGCGUGUGCACAGGCCUUCCAAUCGACUCUGCAGUCAAUCGAAAGACCUGCACACACGCACAGGACCAUCAAUGGGCAGGCGGUGGGUGACAAUGAGGAAGAGCAAGGAGGGUGGCCGCGCAGACGGGUGGCUGGGCCUUCUGCUGCCGCUGCCUCGACAGUGCCCCCACAUGGUCUGCACCAGAAGCAACGGCUUAAUUGGUCUUAAUGUUGGACCGCCUCUGACAACAGUCACAGUUUAGUCUAGAGAGUUCAGGCUUGAUUUAUUCUAAAUCUCAUUUAUUUAUCAUUUUAGCAGUCUUGUUAUUCAUAAAACUUUCCCACACAUUUCAGAUGAGUUGAAUUUUUUUCUAUCAUGUUUCUUCACUGCCCAGCUUUCAUAAACAUACAUAGUAAUUGGAAAUAAAAUGUUGUGAAUAAUCCUAAUAUUGGCAUUAUAUAUUUCAGAAUCUCAUCUAGUUUGCACAUAGCUUUCAAGUUUUAAUAUUCUUUUGAUCCUUUGACUGCAGUCAAAUGGUUGCAUGACCCCUUCUUUAAAUAUGCCUUUUAAAAAUAUGUGAAUAUAUUGAAUGUAGCCUGUAGCCCAUGAAACAACCAAUUAUAGUGUGAUCUAAAAUCCUUAGAAAUCUGGUUUUAUAUAUGCAGUGGAUCUAGGGUAUGCCGUAAUUUCCUUCAUUUGUAUGCAUUCAUAACCAUUUUGGAUCCCUGCUACAAAGAAAUAUCAAAGCCUUAAAAAAAAGAAACAGGGAUGAUGCAUGGAAUUUUCUGUCUUUUAAAAUUAUGGAGAAGAGUAAAUAAGCAAGAAAAUAGGUGUGCAAUUUAAUUGCUCAGAUAUUGGAAGGGAAAUGUUGAUUAUGUUAUCAUCAUCAUCAUCUCACUUGUAUUUUUUCACUGAGAGAUGUCUUUGUGUGUGCCAGGAUUUUCAUUCCUCCCAGUAUCUGUUGCUAAUUUUGUGUUGGUGUGAAAUAUACAGACAGCAGUUUGAGUGUUGGACUAGGACACUGAAGGAUCAGGGUCCAAACCACUACUCAGCCAUGGAAACCCACUGAAUGACUUUGGGCAAGUCACACUUUCCCAGCCUCCAAGAAAGGCAAAGGCAAAAACCCCUCUGGACAAAUCUGAAUAGCACAAUUGCUUGUCAGAUGUUUUCACAGCCCAAGUUAUUUUACCAACUGAUUCCUCUUUUUCUUCGUUUUCUCCAUGUCUGACCCUCUUCUGACUAUUCUCAGUUGUCUUUGAUGUCCCCUCAGCAACCAGACAUCAAAUUUUCACCAACGCCUUCUUAAACAGCAGCCAAAGUCUUAGCACUUAUAAACUAUCUAUCUGUAUGUCUGUCUGUCUAUCUAUCUAUCUAUCUAUCUAUCUAUCUAUCUAUCUAUCUAUCUAUCUAUUCCAGUUGAUAUAAAUAAGGCUAUUCCUUGAUCUCUGUCACCAGUAUUUAUCAACACCCCUAGCCCCAAAGUGCAGUGUUUGCAUUCAUUGAUAGACUGACUUGACAGCAAUAUUACUAACAUUGGAAGCUGAGUGUCACAAGGAGAAGCAAAGAGGUGGAAGGAUGACAAGCCAUCAUACAGAACUCUGAUCUGCGUGCUUGUUAAUGCCUCAAAUAGAGUCAACUGGUCAAAGUCCCCAAGAUUACAGGACCAUAGGGAAGGGCAACCCUAUCUCAGUCAUUGUAUUCAGCAGCACCAUGGCUGUUAUGGUCUCUUUUACACUAUAAAAUUAUAGCACUAUCAUUCUACUUUAACUGCCCUGACUGUAUCUUAUGAAAUCUAGGAGUUUGUGGUUUGGUGAGGUACUAAUGCUCUGUGGUAGAGAAUUCUAAAUACCUCAAGAAGCUACAAAACCCAGGAUUCUUUUGAGUAGAGCCAUAACAUUUAAAGUGCUCAAAAUGCUUAGAACUAAAAUGUUUUGAAUUUGGGACCCCCCCACCCCCACCCCAGAUUUUGGAAUACCUUUGUGUGUGUGUGUGUGUGUGUGUGUGUGUGUGUGUGUGUGUAAUGAAAUAUCAAGUUUAAACACAAAAUUCCUUUGUGUUUCAUAUCCCCGACUCUGGAACACCCUCCCCAAGGAUCUCAGACAGGCCCCUACAUUGGCAGUCUUCAGAAAGAACUUGAAGACCUGGCUGUUCCAAUGUGCCUUCCCAGAUUAAUAGGAAAUCUCCAACUCCAAGUCCCAUAAGCACUUUAUUAGAACUAGAUCGUAUAUCACACUCUGCACUUGCCCUAGAAGCCUUAUAUAUCACCUGUCACAUCAGCACUUUUAAUCUUGUACCCAUUACUCUGGCCCGGCCCAGUUUUAUUGUGUUUUAGCGUAUUGUUUAUUGCUUGUUGUUUAUACUGUUUUAAUUGUUUUAAUUUGCCUUUUGUUUUGUAUUGUUAUAUUGUGUGUUGAGGCCUUGGCCUUUGUAAGCCGCUUCGAGUCCUUCGGGAGAUACUAGCGGGGUACAAAUAAAGUUUAAUAAUAAUAAUAAUAAUAAUACCUUACACACUUAAUAAAAUGUGUGUACAUUGAACCAUGAGAAAGCAAAGGCAUCACUAUCUCAAAUACUCAUGUGGACAGUUUUGGAUUUUGGAGUAUUUCAAAUCUUCUAAUUCUGGAUAAAGGAUGCCCAGUGUGUAUCAAAGUGCUAUAAUUGUGUUGUGUCUAAGAGACCUAAGGAUUUGAACAGUACCUGGUGAUAGAUAUCUGCUGACGGAAUUUGAAAAAGGGGAGACCCUUCUUCUUAUCACUGCUCCCAAUAGAUUCCUUUCAGCUGCCUUUGGAGAUCUGAGAUUAGUAGAUUCAGAGAUCUGCAAGGAAGAGGACCUUCCAUCAUGUAGUGCCAACAUGGCAUUGGAUUUCAAUCAUUCUAAACAGAAAUUGAAAUUUCCAAGCAGUUCACAUAUUUUGCUUUUUGUGACCUUCUCUCAUCCAUUGGCAAAAAGAAAAUGGAACCUGGUUGGAUCUCUUCCCUUGUUCAGAACUGAAUUUUUUUAGGCAAACCCUCAUCCUUGCUGUGCUGAGUCAAUUACCUUUAAGUAUCAAUGCUCUGUUAGGAAAGGUCCCUUCUUUUCUCUAAGCACAGGUUAAGAAAGGCUUUGUGCUUUGACACUUAACUUGCUAGGCUCAAAGGUUACACAGAGUGAUAUUUGGAAGUGUAGUCUUUUGUCUUUGGUUCAAAAGAGAAGGGCUUUUCCGCUUGGUAUGAGGGGAGAGCAGAGAGAAAUGCCAUCUAUAUUAAAGACAAGUCAGAACCAACUUGAAGGAGCACGAUAACAAAACCUCCUCCCAACAUGGAGACUUGUGUGGGUUUAUUUUGCAAAAUAAAGAAGGCAUCAUGCUGUUCACACAUUGACUAGAUUUAAUAACAUUUUUAUGUAAGAGUUGAGCUAAGUGAACUUCCUACAGUCCCUUGCUUGAAAUUCAUUUCCACAAAUAAAACCUCUCUAAAUUGUGUUGGUGCAUAGUCUGUUCUGCUUAUACUGAACCUGAGAAUGGGGCCUUUAAUUUGCCAUUGCAGAAAAAAUAGCAUGGCUAUAAAAGUGUAAGAUAAUUGCAGGCAGACAGCCUUGGAUUAAGGAUGACUCAGAAUACUAUGGGUAAAUUUCUGUGCAGAGUGAUUUAAAGUAAAGAAUUGCCUCAUAGUUUGAGGGGAGGCGUAAACACUUUUUUUUUCAGUCAGGCUUUGAAGCUGACUAGUUGCUGAAGAGGGGGCUUUAAAUAGGUGGGUCUGUUGUGUUUCGAUAUAAUAGUUCAUUUAACUGUGUUUGCAAUAUUUAAAAAACCAUUGUGUUUUUUUAUUUGUGCCUUUGUUGCUCAUCUUAAGAAUUAUCUCAGGUCUUACUUUUGGGGAGAAAGGCAGGGUGCAAAUCAAACAGAUAAUCAAAUAACUAUAUAUUCAAUAGAGAGUCCACUAAAGAAAAAUAAUGUCAAAAAUCAAGAUGAAUUUUAAAUCCAGAGUUUUCAUUGUCAAAUACUGAUCAGGAUCACUUACAAGCCUUGUCGUUUCUUGAUUAGAAAUGUUCCUUAUAGAUAAAGAGGCUGACUAUGCUGCUUUGUGAACAUUAAGGAGUUGGGAGACUUGCUCUGAAAGCUGUAACAAAUUUUUAAAUCUGGAUUUUACUUAUUAAGACAAACAGACCCACAAAUAAUACAUACAAGUAUCAAACAGAACUUUUGCAUCCUGGGGUUAGUUGAUUUAAACGUGUUCAUGAAAUUUUCAAUGAAACAGGAAGGCAGACUCCAAACACUUCCAUGUAGAAUUUAUAAAGCUAUUGCAGUCAACAACUACCGUUGCUAAGAUGUUGUCGUGAGUAUUUAUACCUAAUUAGUAAAGUCACACAAAACUCAAGAGCAGAAAUUAUGGUAAUUUUUAUCAGAUAUUUCCUAAGAAAUAUUCUCCCAGAAUAAGAUACAACACAAUGGAUACUAAAUCAGAUUUAUAUAUAUAAAAAAGGAAUGGUAUACAGAGAACCAUAAAAUUAUCUUCCUUUAUUUCUCUUCUGAUCCAGUAGAACCUCACAUCAGAUAAUAUUGUCCACCAAGGUUAUCACAUCACCAGAGAGUGCUUGUCCUCUUUUAUAAUACCGUACUAUCUCUCUGUCUAUCUGUUAUAUUUUUAACAUGGAUAUACAGUAGAGUCAUGCUUAUCCAACAUAAACGGGCUGGCAGAACGUUGGAUAAGUGAAAAUGUUGAAUAAUAAGGAGGGAUUAAGGAAAACCCUAUUAAACGUCAAAUAAUGUUAUGAUUUUACAAAUUAAGCACCAAAACAUCAUAUUUAACAACAAAUCAACAGAAAAAGCAAUUCAAUACAUGGUAAUGUUAUGUAAUAAUUACUGUACUUAUGAAUUUAGCACCAAAACAUUGCAAUGUAUUGAAAACAUUAACUACAAAAAUAUUGACUACUAAAAGGCAGACUAUAGGUACUGAGGGCCAGCAUGUGGGUAGCCUCCGAAGAGAGGCUACCCACAUUUAUUACCUCUCAUUCUCGCAAUAGACACAAAGCAAUAUUUGUUUGUUUGUUCGUUUGUUUAAGCCUUGUGUGCGGACCAGUUUCAGAUCUUUAUUUAGCCAUUUGGAUAGUCACUGGGAUCCUGAAAUAGGAAAACACUCUACCAGUUGGGAUUGUCAGGAACACUGCUGAGGAAAGAUGACCCAAGGCUGCAAUAUCUGCACUGUUUUGAACAGUUUCUCAGUCCCCUGUGUACAAACAUGCCACUGUACUCUUUUAUCCUUCAGUGAAGAUACAAAGCCUGCAAAGACCAAAUCAGAAAUUGUGCUAUAUUGGACCACAGAUGUUCAUUAGGUGACUCACAAUAAGGUAACAUCAGAAGAUAACUCCAAAGGCGUGUUUAAUGAACAGAUGAAAUUCUCACAGACACAUUGCAGGCAGGGGAGGAGGGAGUGCAGAGCUCUGAAAAUGUAGACUGCAGCCUAGCAACAGAGUGAUGCGCCAAUAGAGAAACUGGAACAGUCAAUUCCUCUGGGGGAAAACAAAUGUGUUUCCAGUUUGAUUUCCUUUGAAAAUCACACAGGGGAAACAAGCAAGGAACUGUUCCUUCCACUCUCUCUGGUUUGUUAUAGAAGCAGCAGCAAUGUUGCCUGUAAAUACAGCAUGUGAGUAAAUGCCAGAUUCCGAAAGGCCCUUCUGUGCAAGAUGAUAUUGCCCAACAGCCGCUAUCCAUGGCUCUUGCUGUGUCAUUUGGAUUUAUUGGUAGGGAGAGCGUCAGACCGGAAGGCAACUGUUAGGGAUGAGACUUUUGUGGCAAUUAGCGUUGCAGAAAUAAUAAGAUAGCUCUGUAGCAUCCUCUUGUGGCACUUGUUCACGUUCCCCUUGGCAAAAGCCCGGAAAGCAAAUAGAUCCCAAGAAAGAGGCAGGCCCCAGUGCCCACCUUGUAUGCAGUGCCUUGGGAUGGAAGUAGGAGGGAGAUUCCUUGCUUACUGUUAUGCUGGCACCAAUUUGUUUGCAGGGUUGACAAUUUUUUAGCACUCUGGUUUACCAUCUGUUGCCAAGAAACCUUGUGGGAGAAGGACUGUGGCUGGCAAAUAAUCUUUCUCCCCUACACUAUGUAAGGCAACCUACUUCAUGAGAGCAUGUGUUCCCCUCCAGUCCAGCUCCUCUAGAGUUAUAUACAAGAAAAAAAGAGGCAAAAAAGGGGAAAACACAUGAGUUUGGCCUUGCAGACAGGUUUCAGCAGUGACCAUGAUGUGGUUUGCUUAAGUUGUGGAUACGUUUCUCUGCCAUAGCUCAAAUCUGUGAAAAGAUGACUACUUCAGAGUGCAAGAGCAGCUCAUUAUCGUAAUUAGUUCAAGGGGAUAGAUGCCAUAGAAAUACCUGGCAAUAUGAAAACUGCAGAGGGGUGCUACAUGAGUUGUGAGCUGUGACCACCUUCUAGAGAACACCUGUUUUAUUGCUACUUGGAGAGUCCUGUUAGGAAUAGUGCCCUUUUUAUUACUAAUUAUUUAAAUUUGCAUCAUUCCUUUCCCCCAAAGCCAUAAUGGGAUUCUCCCCCAUUAUUAGUUGUGAUGAGUUGCAGAUCUUCUCCACCCCUGUCACCUAUAAUGGCUCUUUCAUCUCUUUUUUAAUUAAAUCUAAUUUGUGCAUGUUUUGCACAGCUUCUUCUCCAAUCUAGCAUUUCUUCUUGGAGUGCUAAUAGUACAGUAUCCAAUUCCUGCAUGGCAAUCUAUAUGGCAUUUUCAGAUGAUCCUCUGAAGAAUCCAGCCACAGAUGCAGGUGAUAUGUCAGUAGAAAAUGCUGAUAGAACAUGGCUAUACAGCCUGGAAACCACACAGCCCCCCAGUGAUUCUGGACAUGAAAGCCUUUGACAAUACAAUGUGUCUGCUGUCUUUCACACCACAGAAUUAUAGCCCUGUGUUUCCACAUUAACUGCCAUUGCUCCAUCCUAUGAGGUUUCCAAUAUAGUGACGGAACCGUAGCAAUCAUAGAGGAAUCAUAGUUAUGUAACUGUGUAGUAUAAAAGAGACCCAGCAGUAGUUGGUAUUCAAAGAAAGUCUAUAAUUGUUUAUCAUGUAUUUUGUAUCCUUAACCCUGGGUGAAAAUUUCUCUUCAAAAUAAACAGCAGAAUAAGACUUUCCCAUCCUAGGGAAGCAAAAAUCUUAAAGGUGAGGAUCAGAAGACAAAAAGGGAGACUGAGCCCAUCGCAACUUGUAUGAUUUCUGCCUUCAAAUACCUGGAUAACCUCUACCCAACCCAAUUCACUUUUAGUUUUACGGUCUGCUGGAGAAUUUAACAUUAUUAUGGACUGGGAAAGGACUGUCAAAAAGGAAUUCCUAAUGUCCAUCAAGGAACCAUUUGUUUAUCUUUCACAUUUUCGCAGACAGGCAUGCACAGGCGCACAUAUAUAUUUAUAUUUAUUUAUUUAUUUAUUACUGUCAAUGACCAGCACCAACAAAUGAACAAAUGUCGGAAUAGGAACAUAUUAUAAAGUAAAUGGGUUCCUGGUUACACACCAAACUAAUAUAUACCCACAAGUACACCGAUAUGCACUAGUAAAUGGUCAAUAAACAAAUAUAAAAUAUAAACUUAUAUUGAAUGAAGAACAAUCAGUACAGGAUUUACAAUAUAAUGUUAAUGUUCCAUAUAUCAAAAUGAAUAUAUAACUCAACAAUGUUUGCUCUAUACAUAAGUUUUCACUUGUUAAAUCAAUCAGUUGAAACUGAAGAGCAUGUAGAACACACGACCGAUUUCAACUUAGUCUUCUUCAGGUGAGUUUAUCUGAGAAAAUUAUAAUGAAUUAACAGGAGCGUAUAACAUAUCCACAUAAAUAUAAUUAUAAAUCUGAUACAAGUAUUCACAAUUGUACUUUUACAUGAAACACACUUUACAUUCUUCUCUCAAGUUUAUCUUUUUUCAAAGGUGGGUUCUCUGUAUUUCCAUUAUAAUGUGCAGCUCUUUCCAUAUUUCUCCUGUGUUUUCCAAAAAGAACAAGGAAAAAUGUCUCCCUGAAAUUUCCUAGAUUAUUUGCUGCACACUGCAUCCCUUUAAUGCCUUUGAAUUUUCCCUCUCUUUGUAUCUCAGUGGAUCAACUACCUCAAAUAGUUUACUCAUGCUGACAUAAUGGCUGUUAUUUUGAGUGUUCCUCCUCUCUGUUUGCCAGUUUUCCUCAGCUUGGGUUAAGCACUAUUCAGGUAAAUGACCUCAUGGGUUUUCUUCUGUGUUCCUUUCUUUUGCAGCAUGAAAUCUUGAUGGCGUGGCAACAGUGAAUCUGCCCGCUGGCAGCUACAGUAGAAACUAGUAAGCAAAAAGGACUAGGAAAGAGGCACAAAUAGAAAUGUUCCCUGCACAAAUGGGAUCUUUCAAGCAACUGGCAGAAAAAAAAAAGAAAUAAUACUUUAAAUUGAAAAAAAAAUCUAAUACAGUAAAACAGUAUUAACCUAUGUUAAUUUUGUCUUUAUUUGUCUUUAUUUGCCUUUAUUUACUAUAUGUCAAUAUUAAUAACUAAUCAGUACAGAGUUUAUGGUAUGGUAUUGCACUGAGUAUAGUAUCAGUCGUAGUUUAAAUAGUAACUCUUAAGCAACCAUAAACAACAGUCAUCUGGCAUCUGCCAAUCCCCAUGGGUAUAUGUGUCACAGGUGGCGGGAUUGGGCAACUGCUAGUGUUCUGCUCCUUGGACCCUUAAGGAGCCAAGUGGACUGCCAAAAGUGCCAAUAAAAAAGCAAAACAAGAACAGAAAUUAAUAAAAUCUGCUUCCCACCCACCCAACUUGGGUGGUUUUCAUGUUAAACAGUGCAAAAGGUACUUCUACCUAUGUGAAAGGUAAAUUGCCUGGCAUUGAAAAGGAAGGUUUUCUUUUCCUACCAUUGACUUUCCCUCUUCCUCUAGAAGUUUUAUAAUGCCUUCAAUUUCAUAUGCAGUAUGUUUCCCUUGUGCAUAUCUAACCUAGCUGCCCUCCAAUAUCUUUUCCACUUCACCCAGAUUCUCUGAAGAAACCUAUAGGGCAGCUAAUUUACUGCCAUACAAUUUUGGGUGUCCUAGUUUGGCAUCCUGGCUAGUUAACAAUAUUAUGAGCAUAUGUUCUGAGGGAGGGGGGACGUUUUUGCCACUGCUGUUGAGUCUGGGGAUUUGGAUGUGCAACUCAAGCAUGCUGUCUUUCCAGAAGUGCAGUGUAAGCAUGUAGUUCUCCCGACCUUGGCAGGUCCAAGGACAAAGUCUUCUAACUGAUUGUAUAAAAGGGAGGGGGGAUGAGACCUGUUUUAAUUAAAAACAUAUUCUCAUCAGAUAGGAAUGCACAAAUAGUCUUUAAUGUCCCUGCCUUCAUUUUGAUGUGAUUUUGGUGGCUUUUUCUUUCUCCCUUCAAUUUUGUCAGAUCAGCCCCUUUGAUUUCUUGCCUUUGGGCAUGGGUACUUCCUUGCAGAACAGAUGUCCCCCCACCCAGCAGUUUAUGGGAUGAAAUGUGCUGCAUCUGCACUGGUUGUGUGCUCCUAAGCACUCUUCUCUGCUCAUGAUGGGGCUGGAUACAGUGAACCUCAAAGACUUGAUGCUAGAGAAGAAAACUUGUGCCACAGUCUAUCAUGCAUGCCUAGUUUCAGCCUGUGGCCAUUAUUUUCUUCAAGGAAACAAAAUUAUCCCACAUGCCAUGGACAAUUCCAGGUGGCCAAGGAAUAUUCUCAGAGUAUCUAGUAGGGCAGAAGAAAAUAUCCUGUGACAGGCUAGUUUUGUGGCGAAAUUACAUGCAUAUAUUUACUGAUACCAAAUGUGAACAGUCCUGGGUGGCAUCUAAGAAUGAGGAUUUCCAAGAUGGAGGAAAUCUGAAACUUUAGAUAAUUCUAAAACUGAGGGAGGGGUAGUUAAUGUUCUAUGUUGUCGUAAUGCCUUUGUCCAGGAUGUAUGCAUUAACUUUACUGUCAUUUUGACAUCAAGCUAAUAGAUGUUUAUUCAUCUAAACAUUGAUAUAUUUAUUGGUUCUUUAUAUUUUAUCCCACCAUCCUUUUCUCUUUCUGUUCCAUUCUGGUUUCUGAUAUUUGUGAUCUAUUGUUUUAACUGCACAUUGUUUCUGAAAAUUGUUAGCUCAGUGGAGUUCUGCAGAUGAAGGCUCAUUGUGUUUUGAUGUUUUCAUCCUGGAAUUAUUUCAUAUGAAGGGUACAAUAGGAAUGGGCAUCAUAAAUAACAGGGUUUAACACAUUGCCACAUACCAGAGAUAUCAGGACUGAAGAAAGCACUCAGUUCUAAAAAUUUGCUUUUUAAAUUUAAUGGUAUUACUCGUCUAGACAAACUCUUUUGGUUAUAUGGCCUUGUUCAUAAAGGACCUGCUUGAGCACUGAAACAAUUAGUGUACAACUUGAGGGCAGUUAGAAAGCCAUGCUGAGCAGACGUUGCAGCAAUUCUGUGAGAAGCUGCUUUUUUUCGUGUAGUUGCUUCUGGAGUGAGAGAAUUGGCCGUCUGCAGGGACGUUGCCCAGGGGACGCCCGGAUGUUUUUGAUGUUUUUACCAUCCUUGUGGGAGGCUUCUCUCAUGUCCCCGCAUGGAGCUGGAGCUGAUAGAGGGAGCUCAUCCGCACUCUCCCCGGGUGGGAUUCGAACCUGGCAGCCUUCAGGUCAGCAAUCCAACCUUCAGGUCACAAGGCUUUUCUCCCCUAGGCCACCGAAGGCUCCAGUUGAGAAGCUGUUGAUCUCCUGCUUAAUUUCUGAGGGACUGUUGAUGUCUAUUUCAUGCUGCUUGCAUAUAUUAUACAGGGCUAUUAUUAUCUUUAUGAAAAGGGAAUGCGUCCGCUAUGCAGUAUUCAUUACCCAGACAACCAAGCCUCUUUUUCAGUUUGUGUUACUUUUGUCAAGUCAGUUAAGUAUAAUCAUCCCUCCAUACCUGUGGCUUUGAUUUUCGUGGAUUUGAUUAUUCACAAAUUUGGUUUAAAAUGGUUUUUUGGGGGGGGAUCUCUAGGUACUCCAUUGUGACCCUGUGGUCAACUUCCUCCCAUUUAGCCAGAAGACUUAGAGAUUUAUAGUGGGAACAUCUCUCUAGGAAUGUUUUAUGUCCUCUCAUGCACGUCUAUGUUCAGCUUCUAGGGAACACUGACCAUAGAGUCAUGCUGAAAGACCUAGAAAUUGCUUGAGAAAUGUUCAAGGAGAAAAAACAGCAAUUUCCUAUAUCCUUGACCCCAGUGAAUGUGGAGGGUUGACUGUACUAUGUUUUGCCUGUGUUUCAGUUUGUAAAUAGAGUGAUAGAAUAGCUUUUUUUCUUAAUUAGCCCCUGCAUCAGAUACAUAUGCAGCAGCACUAAUGCCCCUGCCUAGAAAUGUAUAUAUUCUCCCUGUGUCCAUUACUUUCUCUUAUUUUGCUCAUAGUCUUACUUUGAGUUAGAAAAACAUUUCUUAGCACAUACUCACCAGAGUCACAAAGAUACCAAAUUGACAUUUCCCUUAUCCUUGUUUAAUUUUCAAUGCUAAGCAAUUGAAUCUAUGGGAAUAACAAUGUGUGCAUGAUAGAGUGGACUCUUUGCUGUUUGCUAACAAUGUAAUCUUGGCUCACAGGCAUCUCUGAAAAUUUCAGCCAGCUCUCUUUCCAUUGAUAGAUUUCAGCCAUCUCUCUUUCCAUUGACAGAUAUAUGCACUGUGUAAUCUGCUGAGGUUGUUGCCUAUUUUCUCAAUGAAGGAUCUACAAGUAAGAUUUCAUUCCGGCAACUUGUAGGGUAUUUUUGGACCUAUUCUCCUUUAACAGAAGGAGAAUAGGUCCAAACAUCCCCUACACAUUGCCAGAAUGAAAUCUCACUUGUAGAUUCUUCAUUGAGAAAAUACUGUAGGUAACAACCUCAGCACAGACAUCUCGUUUCUAUUUAUUUAUUUAUUACAAUAUUUGUAUCCCGCCCUUCUCUCCCAAUAGGGGACUCAGGGUGGCUUAGGUCCAAAUCCGCAUGAAAAAUAAUGUUCCUAUUGGAAACCAUUGGUGCAUUGUUCCAAGCCCAUUUAAUUAAUACAGUGGUUCACUGUUCCUGUAAUCAAGGGCUUGGCUGCUGUAAAAGUAGGUGUGACACUUUGGCAAGGUGUAAUAUGGGCAGGAAUGAGACUCUCAUGCCAACUCAUGUGCUUAAGAUUUAUAUAUAUUUUGUUUUCAGGGAAAAACACCACCUGUCUACAGUUUUUCAAGUCAUUUCUUGAAAAACCUUGUAAUAUACUGUAGAAUAUUUUAUCUCUCUCAUGCUUUAGUAUUACAUUUUCCCCUGUUUAUGGACUGGUAAUGUGGACUUGUACAUAAAACUCCAUUUUAAUUUUUUGUUGUUCUGUUCUUUGUUUCUAAAUAAAAUAAAAAGUUGUUCAUUAAUUUUACAGGAUGCAUUUUGCUUUAAAGGAAAAAAAAGUCCUAGGAACAAAUUAUGAGAUUUUAAAAAUUCCAUCUGCUAAAAUAAAACAGUGCUUGUUUGUGUUACUCUUACAAUCAUAUCUUCUUUCGUGGUAUUAUAAAAAUGGUGGUGCAAUGGCGGUUACUUUGAAUUAAGCACUGAUACAGAAUUGUUGUAGCCUCUGUCCGCAUUGAGAUCUCUUCUGAUCAUCUUAACUGACAACAGAUAAUUUCUGAGACAAAAUGUAGAUCUGUGACACUUUCCUGAUCCUAUAUGAAUUUUAACAUUUUUGCUUGAUGAAGAAGCCAGUGUAGCGUGAUAUAUUUUUUACAAUUUGCUUGGCCAAGAAAAAUCUGGAUUUGUAUUUUGUUGCAUUUUGCUACAUGGUCAAUACAGUUACCUCUGAUUAUGUCAUAAAAGAGGAAACUUUAACAAGUGGGAACUGAAGGACUGAGACUUCAAUCUUUUAUUUUGGACUACAGUUGACUUUUUAAAACUUAUAUAGCACCUAAAUAUUUUUCUGGUUGGAACAGUAGAGGUACUUCUUGGGAAAUCCCAUGUUCUCUGUCUAAGAAAAGAGCAGGUACCUUUGCCCAGCUUGCAUUCAAGGGAAGCUAUUUUUCUGUUGCUAAUGGAGUUGAAAUGGUAUUAUAUGUCUUUAAUUGCCCCUCCCCUUAGCAGCUACAUAACAGAAUCUUAACAGACUGAGACAAAAUGUAGACUUGAGAUUCCAAUGUAUCACUUUCCUUCUCCUGUAUGAUUUUAAACAUUUUUUGCCUGAUAAAAAAUCCAGCAAAGUUCUGAAAGCUUGAAAAGUGUAAUUGGUGCAUUUCAGUUGGCCAAUAAAAGUAUAUUAUUGUCCUAUGAAUUGUUGUUGUUGCUGCUGCUGCUGCUGUUGUUGUUUGCUGCAUAGCCAACUCAAUUAUUCCCCAGUGCCGAGUCAUAUAUAAAAUGUCAGCAAAAAUGUUCCCAACUUAUGGCAACCCUAAAGCUAACCUAUCACAGGGGUUUCUGGGGCUGGGACUGUGUGCCUCACCCAAAGUCACCCAAUCGGUUUCAGUGGCAGAGGAGGGAAUCUAACUCUGGUCUCCAGAAUCAUAGACCAGUGCUCAAACCAUUUAUACCACACUAGUUAAAGUUGUGUUUACCCUCGUUUUACUAUUGAAGUAUUUAAGUGGCUUGUAUUUAUUUAUUUUUGUAUGAACCAGAUGUUGCAUGUUGUGUAAUUGGGAGGCUUGAAUGUUUAAACUAUAUUUUAUGUAUCUAUUUUAUAUUUGAGCCAUUUUACAUACAACCUCUUAGCAAAAAUGUUCACAAAUGACUGCUUAAAAGAAGUAAAUGUAUUUUUAUUGGAUUAUUUCUGGAGCCCACAGUGAAGACUAUACUCACGUACCAACCGUAAUUGCCAUGUAGACUAAUAAAGUUGGCAGACACCAAUACGACGCACCAACAGCAAAUCUGUUAGAAGCUGUGGGAGACCACUAAAAAAACUCCUGAUAAGAACUUUCAGUUAGUUGCAAUUGUAUCUUAAAAUUUCUUCUUAGGGUUUGAAUGGAAAUAAAGUGAAAAUAAUGUGAAGGAGUAUACCAACAGACAUUCUAGUUUCAACAACCCUUACUUCCAUUUGUUUGGUGUUUAGAGGUAUCUACUUCAAUCCUGGAGAUAUUUCCACAUCAGGUCUGUUAGAGUAUUUACUGCUGGCAAACUCUUCUCCUUAUGGACUCAUAUAAGUAUCUGUUUAUUUAUAGAGGUGGCUGAUUCUAGGAGAAAACAGAUAAGCUCUUUAAUAUUUAUGAGAUAAAGAUAUGUUCAGUAAUCCCACAGGACAAGCACAGCACAGCGGGAGAAAAUUUUGUUUUUUUUAACCUUUCAGCUAGAGAGUGACCCUAUUAUGGCUAGGGGCUGGUAUGUUGUGCCAAACUUCUCAAUUGUUCAGUGUGUGCACUUCUGUCCAUGCAACAUGUAGAACAGCUCAUUUUCUUAAGCUGUCUGAGAGCAUCUUCCAAAGCCUAGUUUUACCUUCCAGCUGGCAUUUAGAACAUGCUGUUAAAAAUAAGCCAACUUGCAUGGGAAACGUUUGCUGGCCAUCCUUAACUGCUUUGGAAUUCAUUGUUUCACUGACUUCAAUAGACGUCUCUGUGUAUUUGCCAAUCUUUGGCUAAGGUGCUUUCUCUUUUUUUUUUUAUUGCUAAGGUACACAUCGACCUGACCUAGUCAAGUGGUUGCAACUUGCCAACCCCAGCUCAGUGAUAAUGAGUGCUAUGGUGUUUACGUCUCCAUCCCUGCUUGAUAAUGCACUUGGUUGUUGUUGUUUUAAUUAAGACAAAUGUUGCUUGAAGGAAGUAAGGCAAGGGAAUGCCAAGUUUUGUCAUCCUCUUUAAAAUGUAACUUUCUGCCCACAUAACACAUGCUGCAGAGUUUACUGCAUAUAUGAGCUCAUAAUAGUACAGAUUGCGCUUAUUACAAUGAAAACUGCAGGGUUUCUGCUUGUAAACACUUCCUUACACCUGUGUCCAGCCAUCUCUUCUUUCUGAGAUGUCACAAAUGGAGAAUAUGAGAUUUACUGAGCAAUUUGCCAGGUAAAGCGUUGCUGACAUUUAGCAAUGAGCUUUAAUUACAGAUCUUCCGGCUGUUCUUUGGGCAUUGUGAAAACUCUAGGACCAUGAGAACUAGUUUAGAUUGAAUUCACAGUGGUUGACUUUCACUGCUCACCACAUGGUGGCCAUCUUGCCAGGGGCUUCAAACACCAUGUGCUUAUGAGAGCUCAGAAAUUAAGUGGAAAUACCAUAGUAGACAAGGAAAGCAGUAGGAAACUUGGCGAUUGAAAAGUUUCCUUGCAGCUCUUGGCAGUAUCUUUAUUGGUGUCACAACUUUUCCAAACAAUUAAAAACCUUUCAAAACAUUGCAAUAAUAUUUCUACAAAUUUUGAAGUCUCAGUCCUGCACAAUGAAUGGUCGAUAGACCUUGAUGAUGGAAGGACAACUUUGCUUUGCUUUUCAAGCUCAGGGCUCACUUAGAAUAUGAGGAGAGAAAGCGAAAUGCUUUUGAAUGCAUCUGGUAAACACAGGACGCUUGUGGCAUCAUUCAUAUAAAACAUUCAACUAUAGUCUGGUGUUCUGCGGCUAAGCAGAAAGGAUCCAUCACACAGCACUGGGCUUGCAUGACCCUCCCUCUCUCUCUGUUACAUUACUAGGAAGAGAACUAAGCUUGGACUUGAAUUCAUCCAGCAAGCACCUGAUGUGUGAAACUGGGGCUGUGGUUUAAACGAAACACACAUCUGUUAAGCAAAGUGAAAAAGCACUGUGGAAAUUGGGAUGCUAGGUUAAGUGGGCAUUUAGGUCUGAUUUAGUAGAGCUCUUUUGUUUACAGGUGAAAUAUAUGCACUUAAGGAAGAUAACUUGAUGGUGGUUUGAUAUGUAGCAGGCUUAUUUAUUCCAUUCAUUUUUUGAAUUGUUUUUCAAUAUUUCCUGGAGAUGUUCUUCAAACCACUAAUUUGAUUUCUUUUUGCUUCUUUUACUACUAUCCUUCCAUUGGCACAACAGCAGAAAUCUUUCUCUCUCUAAAUGCAUUGUGCUGGUUUGGGGAAUAUGUCUCAAUUUUCUCAGUUGGGGGUCAUUGUAUUUGGUCGAAUAAGGGAAUCUAUUUUCAUAUUUUCUCAUCCAACAUUCCUCAUUGAUUGUUGAUAGGCAUGGUUUCAUAGUCUUGUCUCUCUCCCUGCCCCGGACUACCCUUUUUUCAUUGUUGCAUUUGAGAUAGCAAGUUGUUUAAACUAUCUCUGAGAUUUCUAGUCAUGCUACUUUUAGUUCCGGUGUGUUUUCUGAACAGCUUUCAUAUUAAAGUAAGAGAGGAUAGGAAAGGGAUUAUUUCGGACCAUCUCAGAAGGAUUGAUUUCUAAGCAAAAUGAUCUCCGGGAGCAGCAUUUGUCUAGUUUGAACCAAUUUUGGUAUGCGGUUGGGAGUAUCCUUCUCUCACACAAGUAUCUAUUAUUAUUUAGUGUGUAUUUCUUGCAAGAAUCUUGGAAGAAUUGUUUUUACUACUUUUUAUUGUACCUUCAUGAUAGCAAUUGUACAAUUAAUACAGUUUGACACAACUUUGACUGCCAUGGCUCAAUGCUAAAAAAUCCAGAGAUUUGUAGUUUGGUGAGGUGGAGUCAAAAGAUCUUAUAAAACUAUAACUCCCAUGAUUCCAUUGUAUUAAACCGUGGCAGUUAAAGUUGUGUCAAACUGCAUUAAUUCCAUGGUAUAGAUGCAGCCUUCCAUCUCUUUCUAUUCAGAAGUCCCAGACCUUAGGAGGUCACAUAUUUAUAUUUCUUUUAUAAAAGGUAUGAUUAUAAGAUGGAGCAUGAAAGGGUUUGAACUCUUUUCUAGUGACUACUGCUUCCAUUAAGCCUAGCCAACACUCAAUCCAAUGUACUGCAUGACUCUUCCAAGGAUGGUGGGCUAUUCUAACAUUGGUAUGAAUGGUUUAAAAUUAAACAGUGGCACUAAACAUUGUCUAAGCUAAGUUUCUUUCUUUUCUUUUCUUUUUUAAAAAAGGUUGCAGAUGUUCUGUGUACCUCCUAGUCUUUUUAAUGGACAGAUGAAUGAAAGAGAUCAUACAGAGACUUAAACAUAUUGCACCAUGGCAAAGUCACUUAAAUUAUAAAUAUGUGCCUAUUCAAGCUUCUCUUGAAAAACCUCAAUGAAACCAUCGACAACUUCCUCCUUUUAUGCAACACCACCGUUCUGGAUUAACCAAGGCAUUUUUGUAGUCAAUGUUUUCAAUAUAUCAUGAUAUUUUGGUGCUAAAUUUGUAAAUACAGUAAUUACAACAUAACAUUACUGUGUAUUGAACUACUUUUUCUGUCAAAUUUGUUGUAUAACAUGAUGUUUUGGUGCUUAAUUUGUAAAAUCAUAAUUUGAUGUUUAAUAGGCUUUUCCUUAAUCCCUCCUUAUUAUCCAAGAUAUUCACUUAUCCAAGGUUCUCCUGGCCCAUUUAGCUUGAAUAAGUGAGACUCUACUGUACUUCCUUUCAACCCUGAAUGGUUUUGAUUGAAUAUCAUUGGGCAAGACCACUUAAGAGUCUAUAGAUUUUAUAUGUUGGAAUUCCAUACACUCUUUACCUAAGUAGAAUUGCUGGUACCAACUAGAACUGGGCUAAUUGAAUCAAUUCCUUUUAGUAAACCAACAUGUACAUAAAUACUGUUGACUCAUUCAGUCUACUGGCAUUGAGAUUAUAGUUCCAAUGGAAUUAGGCUACAAACAAUUAUGGAGUUCAUGGGAAAUAUAUCAUAUGCUUCAUAAAGCAGUGCUGAGGAAAAGCAGAUAACAUCUAGACCUUUUACUUUGGUGCCAGACCAACAUGAGUCCCCUCAUGGAGAUAUCGCUGGCUACAAAUAAAGUUGUUGUUGUUAUGAUGAAGCUAAAUGUUUACAUGGCUAGAGUGAUGAAAAACAAGCCUAUAGCUUCUGCUCAUUUAUCUGAUAGGCUACAUUAAUAAAGAAACUGCAAGUAGUCCAGAAGCUUAGUCCAAAGCUUGUGGUACAUUUAAAAAGUCUUUAGUAGUGCUUCUGUAUUACGUGUGUGUUUUGUGACUAGACAGGAAAAAGAUAUACGGAGAAUAGAGGGAAGGCUUUUUGUAUAUUAAUGUGGCAUUGUGCAUGUGCUGGUACAGCUGUACCAGAAACUUCAACUUUAUUUUAUUGCUGCAAAUGUUUGCAAUCAUAGGACAGGCCACCUGUCAAUCACCAUUAAGUUUGGUUCCGCCCCUUGUUCAGGGCUCUGGGAGGGAAGGAGCCAUUUUUAAGUUAGUCUUACUUAGGAAGCUCAUCUAUAGGACGUAGACCAGCUCGUCCCGUAAAAAGCUUCAUAUUUCAAGAGCACCAGGGUUAAAGACCACCGGGGAUAAAGAGCACCAGGGUUAAAGAAUACCAGGGAUAAAGAUCGUCCGGGGAUACAGAACAACAGCACAGAAACAUCUGCAAGCCAUUGGCUGGGCUGAAAAAACAGAAGUUCUGAGUGACGAUCUCUUGCAGGUGGAGAAACGUUUGGAGCUGGUGAAGCAAGUCUCCCACAGCACACACAAGAAGCUGACAGCAUGUCUUCAGGGUCAGCAGGGAUCAGAUUCCGAUAAGCGCUCG